GAUGAACGCUGGCGGCGUGCUUAACACAUGCAAGUCGAACGGAAAGGCCCAAGCUUGCUUGGGUACUCGAGUGGCGAACGGGUGAGUAACACGUGGGUGAUCUGCCCUGCACUUCGGGAUAAGCCUGGGAAACUGGGUCUAAUACCGGAUAGGACCACUUCUUGGAUGUUGUGGUGGAAAGUUUUUUCGGUGUGGGAUGAGCUCGCGGCCUAUCAGCUUGUUGGUGGGGUAAUGGCCUACCAAGGCGUCGACGGGUAGCCGGCCUGAGAGGGUGUACGGCCACAUUGGGACUGAGAUACGGCCCAGACUCCUACGGGAGGCAGCAGUGGGGAAUAUUGCACAAUGGGCGCAAGCCUGAUGCAGAGACGCCGCGGGGGGGAUGACGGCCUUCGGGUUGUAAACUCCUUUCGCUAGGGACGAAGCGUUUUGUGACGGUACCUGGAGAAGAAGCACCGGCUAACUACGUG
rnacentral:rRNA from 1 species